CUGGCUCUGCUCCCCCUCCCCAGCGCACUACAAUGAGACCGGGCCGGAAUAGUCAUAUUCCGGCCCCGGUCUCAUUGUAGUGCGCAGGGGAGGGGGAGCAGAGCCAGAACAGC
rnacentral:miRNA from 1 species